rnacentral:lncRNA from 1 species
UAAUAGUGCAAUUUCUCGCAUUAAAUUAGAAAAUUGCAAAUUUAAUGUAGCUUUUAAUUUGUUAUCAACACUUUUUUAUUUUAAAUAUUUUUUAUAUAGUAUAUGUGAACAGAAAAUCCAUUCUUCCAAUUUUGUGUUUUACUGGACAUUUCUUCCUUCAUUCUCUUUAUUUUUAUCAUUCCACUAUUAUUUUCCACAUUAAUAAGAUUUAUUCGUCAAUUACAGAUUUUGUAUCUUUAUACCUCUAUAAAAUAAUACCAAAAUUAUCAAGAUAAAAAUAUUAUGUUUAAAAUCCUUUUGUAUAGAUCACAAUAACAGUAAUGACAGCAUGUAAAGAAUCAUCAAGUAAUAUAAUUACUUUGUAUUAUAACUUAAUAUUCUGUUGUAUGGAGUAUAAGGCAUCUUAACAACAAUUUUUAGACCCCUGUACCAAUACUUUUUGGCCAAAAUUAAUGAGGAUUAUUAAGUUUCAUAAUACCUGUUGCAGAAGAUAUCAUAAAAGCAGUCGAAAUAAGAAAUUCUGUACUACUAAUAAACAGAUAAAUUUAUCUAUUUAAACUGAAGUUUUUGUAUCACCAUUGUUUUGUUUGUUUUUUAAUUAUUUGCAUUUUUAUAAAGAGAAUAUGAAUCAUAACGGGUAAAUUUUAUACUGUUAAGUAGGGGAGGGGGAUAGAGUUAUGAAAUCCAUUAGAUAAAUGUGUUAAGUAUUACUAUGGAAUAUAGAUCUGUGUGGAAGUCUAGUCAGUUUUUAGUUUCAGCUUUUUUGAAUAUGUGGUGCUAAACGUUGUCAGUGCUUUUCAUUGUUAAUGUCUUGUAAUGAUGUUUAAACCAUCUCAUUAAUAAAUGUAAAAAUAGAUUUGUUU